CCGGGCAGGGCACUCUAGGGUUUCUGGCCGCCGCCCCGUCCAGUUAAGGUCGCCGCCCAGUCGUCGGAUCGGAGGUCCACGGGUGAGAAGGGAGUGGAGGAAGAGGGAGGUGCGCCGUAGGGCUUGAGCGCCUACACGGCCGAUGUCCUUGGCGCCGGAUGGCUUGAGCUCCCGGUCUCGGCCGCCGUCCACGGCCGCCUGCCUCUCUGCCUGCCAGCAGCUCCAGGCGGAGCCGUCCUCGAGCGGCAGGUGGUAGGCUGUUAGUGGUGGUUCACCUCACCCCAUCUUUGUUCUCCAGCUGCUGCAACUCCCCGCAUCGUGGGUAAUGCCCGGCGGCGUGGAGGGAUCUUGCGGGUCAGGGCGCAGAGGUAGGAACGACAUGGACAACCACCUGCCUCUCCACCAGCAGCUCCCGGCCGUGGCUUUCACCUGGAAUUGCAACACCUAUUGGUUAUUAAUUUCAGCGUUGUGGACAGGCUUUACCUUCAUCUUACCUUUUGGUUUAUCGAAAUGGAUCCUUUUUUACAUUGUACCAAUGUGCCUUGAUGAUCUGGAUAACCACCCAUAGGACAACAUCUGCAAGAUCUAAUAAGUAAAUACGAACUGCAUAUCAUGAACAAUCUUUCGUUUUAAUUUAUUGCUAGCUGCAUUUUGCCUAUUAGUUUCAAGUCCUGUCACUCUCCUAAAACAACUUAGUCUAUCUCUGCAUAGAUGAAGCUAAAUCCCAUUGUGCACUAUAUAAAUAAUUAGAUGACCUUUCUCAUAUACAUCCACUAUUAGCUGCACUGUGCCAAUCAAGUUCCAUUAUUACUACUAGGGCCAAUUGCUACGACAAAGAGACUAGAUCGCCUUUUAAGCCAACCAGCCCAUAGAUGUUGCGUCGACUGACCAGCCGACAGAUCUUGCGCCGACUGUGGUGCUCCAGAUCCAAAAUGGCUGUAACACUUUUAUAUUUGAGACCGAGUGCUUCACAUUAUUCUCAAUCUUCCAAUGAUGUGGUGUUUGCAAGUCAUUAACGUUUGGUGCGUUCAUUUGUAUCAAGUGUUCUGGGGUUCAUAGAAGCCUCGGGGUGCAUAUUUCCAAGGUAGCCACUAUAUAUUUCGGUUGCUAGCUAUUUGUCGUCAGCGUCAUCUAAUUUUCAGUUUAAUUUCCUACUGUGAAUGAUUCUUUAUUCAGCCAUAAGAGAGCUUCAAUUAGGCAGCCCCUCGGACACUAGGUAGUGUAACUAUGGGACUUACUUCAGAACCUGUAGGGACUAUUUGAUACUAUAUUUUUGUCGUAGCGAUUGCUACUAUCCUUAUGCGACAUAAUGCAUGGAAGGUUGUCAGAUAUUAGGCGAUGUGGAAGCCCUUUUGGCUUGAGCAACAAAAGCACAAAAAAUUUGCCAGUAAAAAGUAAAAGAUAGUACACUGCAGUGGCAUGUUAUUCCUUUACUAUGCAUAUUUUUUUAGAAGCUCUUCUUUACCAUUAAAUGAUCUGAUUAUGGCUUCAAAAAUUACUUUAUUAUUUCAUGCUUAAGAACAUGUAUAUGAAUAAAAGACAAAUAACCGGGCGUUUUGAUUUUCAUUGUAGUAGGAAUAAGAUGGGGUAAGAAUCUGACACUUUACUCAGCAUCGGUUCUAUCCAUUAGUGUUGGUGGUCACUGACUUGGGAUUAUUGUUGCUGACUUAUACGUUUGUUUUCCAUCGAUCACUCGGAAGAUUCGGAAGUUUACAGCAUAAAAAUCGCAGCAUGGCAGCUUUACUGAACUCCCUAGAAAACACCUGUAGUGGUAAUACAUUUCAUUGCUUUGUUUAAUUCAUUGUUUCUUAACAUGUCUACUGUAUUGAUCAAUGAGAACCUCUUUCAUUCUCUUUAUUUCUUGGCAUAAAAUUAGGUGGCUUAUGAUCUUUGUUCGCUUUUAGAUCGCACGUAUAUUUGCUACUUAUUUAUCAGUAACUAUUAUCAGCUUAUUUGAGAUGUAUGUUUGUAAAUAGGUAACUUACUAUGUUAGGACAUGAUUAUCUUAAUUAAAUAUCAACCGCAUAGUGUUCUGGAGAACAAUCCAGAAAUUGGAAACUGAUCCAUAGUUCAAGAGUAGGGUACUUCAAAAUUACAUAUCUGAAUAAGAUUUUCUUAUUAUGGCAACAGUUCAGGGAUUAACUUGUGUCUUCAGUUCUUUAAUAAUAACAUAACGCUUGACACACUUGGCUUUGUUAUAAUAACCUAAUUACCUGAAGCAUGCUCUAUAUGAGUCAUUUACAUUUUGCUUUCGGUUUACUAUAGAUAAACCGAUUACGCUAUAUAUCCAAAGUAAAGUCUCUCUCUAAAAUGGUCUAUAAUUUCUUGGAUGUCACUUUCGAAACACGUAAGACAUAUGGAUAUCGAAUUGUGGAAUCGCAAUGGUAGUCCAUCUGAAAAUUUUCUUUCCUGCAUGUUGCAUUCAAAUGUUGGAGCUCAUGGUGUACUAAACUGUGGAUGCGUUAGAGUCUACAGAUUUUUUCUCUAUAGCUAAUGAUGUUAGCAGGUACCUUAGGAUAUUAGCUACUUUAUUGAUACAGUCAUAGUGGUACUUGAUUUUUGUAAUUGCCUUAAGAAAUCAGAGUUAGUAUAUGUCUUUUGUAUUGAAGCAGAGAAUAAAACAAGAUAACUAAAACCUUGUGUGUUUCUUCUUAGUACUUUGAUAUGAGAAAUGACAAUACAUCAUGAGUCUUUUUCUUACCACUUCACAGUUGUUCCAUGUUCUGAAUUAAAUAUAAUUCACGAGGCUGCAUGCAAAAAUGUGUGGAGUAGCACGUCCUAUAAUUUUAGCUUCCAAUAGUUUUCCCUUUUGGCAAUACCAGAUCAGUCAGACCAACUCCUAUAUAUAGGAAACAUUAUAAGUGAUCUAAAAAAAAGGAAAGAUUAUAAGAACCUUUUUUUAACCCAAAAAUCCAUAUUAGCUAUUAUCUCGGAAUUGCUCAUUGUAUUCAAUUUGCUAUAGAUACGUCGAAUAUUAUGAUUUUCCCUUAUUUCUCUAACGCUUUUCAAAAUAAUACGAGACUGCUUAGUAUCUCAAUUCUCAUAUAUUUGCAAUAUAAACUUAAUGAAGAUAAUAUUCACCGUUUUGCACAUUCUUACCCAUGUAAAAGUUCUAAUUAACAUAUUGCCCACCCAUUUUCCCACAAGCUUCUCCUUUUUCCUUACUCCUAUUUUAUGUCAUUGAUACAACAUUUCAGAAUUUCUUUUAGCCGGGAAGUAAAUCAGAACUAGAUUGGUAAGCAACAGAUGAUGCUGAACAAACUAUCAAAUAAUCAUAUCUUGCACAUAAAGGGAGUUUUCAAUGUUGUCAUGUUCUCUUUAUAUUAUACGAUAUUCCAAAAGAUAAUAAUAGUAACAUUGUUUGUUGUUUCUCCAAAAACUAACUAUAUAGAUUCCUGAAUAGUAUUAUCUGAUAUUUACGCACUUCCAUCUUUUGAUUUAAAUGGAAUAAAGGAAAAUUUACAGGAUGAUCAUGUUCUAUUUUAUAUCCUGGUGUGUUUUUCUUCAAAGAAAAUGCAGAAUGAUUUGUCGCUUUGAAUCUGUUCUUAUAUCUAACAAUGUUAACAAUGGCUGAUGAAGUCUACAUUCAGGUUUCCUUGGCAAGAUUGUGCUUUCAAAUAGUUUGAUUCGUUUUCUUCAGGGAUGGCUGCUUGCUAAAUUCAUCAGUAUGUGCAUGCAUAGAGAUGAUCUUGGUUGGUCUAAUAAUUAUUCCGCUCAACAAAAUUCAUUAGGAUUCAAAUCCUCCAAGAAUCCUAUGAAAACCCUACAAUCCAAAAAGGCCCUUAGGGCAUACUAUCGUAAGUGUACUCCACAAUCAUUGCAUAUUAUGACCGAUUAUUUAUUUCUUGAUCUUUUACUUUGCCAUCUAUGCAUGGCAUAAGUUCGGCUAAGUAUCAGUCUAUGUAUAAUUACCAUAGAUGGUUCAUUGGUUGUUGUAUUCAGUUCUUAGUAUGCUGAUCCAAAGUGACCACACUCUUCCUACAAGAAGUAUGCAUAUGGAUGGAAAUUUCCAGCACUUUGGAGUAUUUUGACUGAAAAAUUAUAGGCAAUUCAUGGAUGUAUAUGUGUUAUUGUCUGUUUAAAUGUGAAGACACACAAUCUCCAUAUGUGAAUAGUCUACAUACUGAUGAACCAUGUAUCCUUAGAUCAACUUGAGAGCAAUAUUUGUAUUUCCCCCCAGAAAAAAGGCAGCUAGAUAAAGAUUGGUUGGCUGAGCACAUAAAUUCAGUGUUGGUUUGGACUUUGCAUGUUAGUGUUCUAUUUCUCAUGGGUUGUUGAAGAGGCAGAUUUUAGGACUUCAGAAGCCUGCCACAGUUGCAGCUGGAGAGCAAGCCAACGAGCAGUUGUUGUUGGAGAAGAAGGUAGUGGCCGAUGGCUGCUGCUGGAGGGGAACAUGGCCAUGGAUUCUUGCUUCAACAACCUGAUUCGUCUAUUCCUUUGGGCACCUUCCCCAAUCCCCUUGGCAGCUCGAUCUCACCAGUUGGAGUGUUCCUUUGGCCUGUGAUUUUCUGAACAUUUUGGUUAUGAAUCUCAGAAUGUCAGUAUUGUUCCAAUGGAACAGGACGAGGAUAUGAUGAAGUCAGGGCCAAAAUCUUGCAUGUUUCUGGCCUUAUUUUGUCCUCCUGAUGAUGCAUCAUUUAGGCACAAAGGUGGGUGGUCAGUAUAAAAAAAACACACCUAUACAGGCUGUUUUGAACUGUUAAUGUCAUUUAAGUGGAAAAUGGCAUAUUCCCAAGAUUUCUUUAUGUAAUGGCAUAUUUCCAAGAGUCCUUUAUGUAAUGGCAUGAUUUCAGUUGCCAAUA